GACGAACGCUGGCGGCGUGCUUAACACAUGCAAGUCGAACGGAACGUCCCUGCUUUUGUGGGGUGCUCGAGUGGCGACCGGGUGAGUAACACGUGAGUACCCUGCCCUUGACUUUGGGAUAACUUCAUGCCACUUGGGCUCAUCCCGGAUAGGAGCUCCUGCUUCAUGGUGGGGGUUGGUUAGUUUCGGCGGUUGGGGAUGGACACGCGGCUUAUCAGCUUGUUGGUGGGGUAGUGGCUUACCAAGGCUUUGACGGGUAGCCGUCCUGAGCGGGUGACCGGCAACAGUGGGACUGAGAUUCAGACCAGACUCCGACGGGAGGGAGAAGUGGGGAAGAGGGCAAAAUGGGCAGAAGCCAGAUGCAGCAACGCCGCGGGCGGGAGGACGACCAUCGGGUUAGAAUCCUAACGCGCCUGUGACGAAGCGGGAGUGACGAGAAUGGGUAGAGAAACACCGGCCAAAUACGGG
rnacentral:rRNA from 1 species